GAGACUCCGUGGGCGUAGGACCCUCCGAGCCAGGUGCGGGAUAUAUUCUCGUGGUGCGCCGUUUUUUAAGCCCGUCGGAAAGGCGCAGUAUUUGGGUAGGAGUGACCCGAUUUUCCAGUGAGAUGAACCCGGUACCUCAGCUGGAAAUGCAGAAAUCACCCGUCUUCUGCGUCGCUCACGCUGGGAGCUGUAGACUGGAGCUGUAGACAGGAGCUGUUCCUAUUCGGGCAUCUUGGCUCCUCCUUGACAAGCUUGAAGGUGAGCACCUCGAAGGGCUUCUUUUUAUGUUGAAAGGCACGGGUUUGCAUGGCGGUUCAUCAGAGGUCAAUACCCCAGUUUGAGAAAGUCCACUGUGGGGAGGAAAGAGAGACUUAAACAAGCCCUGGAAAAACAAAGAAUGGAACACCCCUCCGCUGACUUCAACCAACUGCCUGCUGAUGCGGCCUGACUCCCAGCCCUUUUUGCAGUUUUGAAGUGACAAACUGACUAGGCUACAAAGUAUUCAACCAUGGGCUGGUUCUGGCUGGUUCACCGAGGCUGUGUACAAAGUGUCUUCAUGUCCUGUGUUUCACCUUUUAACAUACAGAACCUAAUUUUACUGCAUUUUAAUGUUAAUUCUCCACUCGAAGGUGAACAUGGGAUGUAUGUAACACAUAUGUUUGCUUAUCAAGCACACAUAUGACCCCCUUUCAUGAAUAUUCAUAGUUCCCCCUGUGACCUGUUGAAUAUGUCUGUUUAGCCAACCUGUUUGGCAUAAAACUCCUAUCCCACCCUAUCUCCCUCAAAGUACCUGUUUGUGGUCUCAGCUGGAGGUGCCACUUCCCAGCCUGCAGUUUGCAACCCUUCUCAAGAAAUAAAGUCUUCCUUUCCAA
rnacentral:lncRNA from 1 species